rnacentral:lncRNA from 1 species
CUGGAGGACACCGAGCGUGCAGGAAAACAUCCAGAAUUAUCAAAUAAUGUUCCAUGCUUGCUUUUGUAAACACGCAGUAACCGAUACCUCUUUUUUUAGAAGAAAACAAAGCGUUGACGAGGCGAAGGCCUUCGAUUUGACUGCGCCAAAGCUCUGGAGAACAUUCACUUCAGAGGAAAUGCUGCAGCAGAGCUGUUAUCCUCACUGUGAUGAAAAGGGGUGUGAAAGCAGAACUGUGUCGUCCGCUCAUGUCUGUCAAAGAGGAUAUGGAGAGAGAGGAGCGCACGGGCUUUGUGUACACAGGCCGGAGUAGGCUGACUGGAGGGGGGUCGUGGUAUUGAUCGGGGCCUUGGAUGGGAGCCCUUGACCUGCGCCUCCAUUUAAAAGCUAUAAAGGAAGCCCUGCUCCAAUCUAAUGUUUUCCAUCGAGGUGCCAGGAGAGGCGGUGGACACCUGCACUAUGUCAUUCUGUUUAGAUUGGGAGCUGAGGCUGAUAGGGCCAGCUGGGCCUCUCUAUCAUUAGAUCCAACAGCGCUUACAAUAACACAGAAGAAGGCAACACAGAAACACAUUAGAUUUCGCCUUAUUUAUGGCAUUUGAUGACAAGAGUACGGCUCACAAUCCAACUUGGACAUUAGCUGGCUAAAUUGAUGCAAAGCACUUACGGAGCCCAUCCAGCAGUGUAGUGUCUCGGGGCGAAGAUGCUUGUCUGCUGUAAAUAUUAGCUUUGAGGAACAUUUUUAGCUUGUCAAAACAAAGCCCCGCAAUUGCUUUUAACAUCCUUAAUCUUCGGAUGAUUGUUCAAAACAGAUUCUUGACUCACUCUGCAUUACAUCUGUUCAAACAGUUCAAACCUUCAUAGUUGUCGAAAUGUGCACGACCGUACGGGGCAACAAAGAGGAAUUUCAGUUAAACUGCCUCAAUUUAUGGUUAUAGAAAUAACAAAUAUGUUCCACACAGUGAAAUAUAAAGUUUCAUCAUGAGAUUACCUAUGUACAUUUGCUUGUUUAUGAAAGUCAUAUGAAUAAACUUUUUCCAUAAAUGCAGAUUUGCAAAGUCAAAAUAUCAAUUAUUUGUGAAAUCUGAGUGAGGUUCCUGAAGGUGAC